rnacentral:lncRNA from 1 species
UUUCAUCUAUGCCGUGAGAUCUGAAACUAAUUAAUCUUUUCUUCACCACAAACCUAUUAUAACUCUUUUGUGAAUUCUGGCAUGUUUAUCCCAAAACAUUCAUCUUUCUCAACAAUUGUUAAGAAACACAACAAAUUCAGAGGUAAAUUAUAAGCUUCAAUUUAAUGGAGAAUGAGUUGUGCUGGUUUCGACAUGUUAAUAAGGAACAAGAUGUUGUAAGGAGAAUGGGUUAUAGUAUUUCUUGUUAUAGUUGUUAUUGGAGAAGGGAUUGAACAGAGUUGUUGUGACGUGUGUGUAUAUGUAUAUCACAUCCUCAAUUUGUUCAAUUUUCCUUUUUUAAUUAAUACAAUGAAAGAAAAAGGAAGAUGAAAGAUAAAGAGGCCAGGACCCACCAAAAUGGUUUGCCAGGUCAUUCUUGUGUUUCGUCU